rnacentral:rRNA from 1 species
AAGUCGAACGCGAAAGCCCCGCAAGGGGUAAGUAGAGUGGCAAACGGGUGAGUAACACGUGGGUGACCUGCCUUCGAGCGGGGGAUAACGUCCCGAAAGGGACGCUAAUACCGCAUAACAUCCUGCCUUUGAAGAGGCGGUGAUCAAAGCUGGGGAUCGCAAGACCUAGCACUUGAAGAGGGGCCCGCGUCCGAUUAGCUAGUUGGUGGGGUAAUGGCCCACCAAGGCAACGAUCGGUAGCCGGCCUGAGAGGGCGGACGGCCACACUGGGACUGAGACACGGCCCAGACUCCUACGGGAGGCAGCAGUGGGGAAUUGUUCGCAAUGGGCGCAAGCCUGACGACGCAACGCCGCGUGGAGGAUGAAGAUCUUCGGGUCGUAAACUCCUUUCGAUCGAGACGAAUUCCUCUGGGGUGAAUAAUUCCGGAGGUUGACGGUACCGAGAGAAGAAGCCCCGGCUAACUCCGUGCCAGCAGCCGCGGUAAUACGGGGGGGGCAAGCGUUGUUCGGAAUUACUGGGCGUAAAGGGCUCGUAGGUGGCCAACUAAGUCGGACGUGAAAUCCCUCGGCUUAACCGGGGAACUGCGUCCGAUACUGGUUGGCUUGAGUUUGGGAGAGGGAUGCGGAAUUCCAGGUGUAGCGGUGAAAUGCGUAGAUAUCUGGAGGAACACCGGUGGCGAAGGCGGCAUCCUGGACCAAUACUGACGCUGAGGAGCGAAAGCCAGGGGAGCAAACGGGAUUAGAUACCCCGGUAGUCCUGGCCCUAAACGAUGAAUGCUUGGUGUGGCGGGUAUCGAUCCCUGCCGUGCCGAAGCUAACGCAUUAAGCAUUCCGCCUGGGGAGU